UGCCUUAGUAACGGCGAGUGAAGCGGCAACAGCUCAAAUUUGAAAUCUGGUCCCCUUUGGGGGCCCGAGUUGUAAUUUGAAGAGGAUGCUUUUGGCGAGGCGCCGUCCGAGUUCCCUGGAACGGGACGCCGCAGAGGGUGAGAGCCCCGUACGGUCGGACGCCGAGCCUCUGUAAAGCUCCUUCGACGAGUCGAGUAGUUUGGGAAUGCUGCUCAAAAUGGGAGGUAAACCCCUUCUAAAGCUAAAUACUGGCCAGAGACCGAUAGCGCACAAGUAGAGUGAUCGAAAGAUGAAAAGCACUUUGAAAAGAGAGUUAAAAAGCACGUGAAAUUGUUAAAAGGGAAGCGCUUGCGACCAGACUUGCGCCCGUCGGAUCAACCGUCGCUUGCGGCGGCGCACUCCGGCGGGCUCAGGCCAGCAUCAGUUCGUCCGGGGGGAGAAAGGCGGCGGGAAUGUGGCUCUUCGGAGUGUUAUAGCCCGCCGUGUAAUACCCUCGGGUGGACUGAGGACCGCGCGUAUGCAAGGAUGCUGGCGUAAUGGUCGUCAGCGACCCGUCUUGAAACACGGACCAAGGAGUCGUCCUAAUAUGCGAGUGUACGGGUGUCAAACCCCUGCGCGUAAUGAAAGUGAACGGAGGUGAGAGCUUCGGCGCAUCAUCGACCGAUCCUGAUGUUCUCGGAUGGAUUUGAGUAAGAGCAUAUUGGGCCGGACCCGAAAGAAGGUGAACUAUGCCUGUGUAGGGUAAAGCCAGAGGAAACUCUGGUGGAGGCUCGCAGCGGUUCUGACGUGCAAAUCGAUCGUCAAACAUGGGCAUGGGGGCGAAAGACUAAUCGAACCUUCUAGUAGCUGGUUUCCGCCGAAGUUUCCCUCAGGAUAGCAGUGUUGAAUUUCUCAGUUUUAUGAGGUAAAGCGAAUGAUUAGGGACUCGGGGGCGCUUUUUAGCCUUCAUCCAUUCUCAAACUUUAAAUAUGUAAGAAGCCCUUGUUACUUCAUUGAACGUGGGCCUUCGAAUGUAUCAACACUAGUGGGCCAUUUUUGGUAAGCAGAACUGGCGAUGCGGGAUGAACCGAUCGCGGGGAUAAGGUGCCGGAGUGGACGCUCAUCAGACACCACAAAAGGUGUUAUCACAUCUAGACAGCAGGACGGUGGCCAUGGAAGUCGGAAUCCGCUAAGGACUGUGUAACAACUCACCUGCCGAAUGUGAUAGCCCUGAAAAUGGAUGGCGCUCAAGCGUCCCACCCAUACCCCGCCCUCAGGGUAGACACGAUGCCCUGAGGAGUAGGCGGACGUGGAGGUCAGUGACGAAGCCUAGGGCGUGAGCCCGGGUCGAACGGCCUCUAGUGCAGAUCUUGGUGGUAGUAGCAAAUACUUCAAUGAGAUCUUGAAGGACCGAAGUGGGGAAAGGUUCCAUAUGAACAGUGGUUGGAUAUGGGUAAGCCGAUCCUAAGCCAUAGGGAAGUUCCGUUUCAAAGGGGCACUAAUCGCCCCGUAUGGCGAAAGGGAAGCCGGUCAAUAUUCCGGCGCCUGGAUGUGGGUUUUACGCGGCAACGCAAACGAAAGCGGAGACGAGGGCGGGGGCCCUGGGUAGAGUUCUCUUUUCUUCUUAACGGCCUAGUGACCCUGGAAUCGGUUUGUCCGGAGAUAGGGUUCAACGGCCGGAAGAGCCCAGCACUUCUGUUGGGUCCGGUGCGCUCCUGACCUCCCUUGAAAAUCCGCUGGAGGGAAUAAUUCUCACGCCAGAUCGUACUCAUAACCGCAGCAGGUCUCCAAGGUGAACAGCCUCUGGUUGAUAGAAUAACGUAGAUAAGGGAAGUCGGCAAAAUAGAUCCGUAACUUCGGGAUAAGGAUUGGCUCUAAGGGUUGGGCACGUUGGGCUUCUGGCGGACGCCCCGGGAGCAGGCGGCCACUAGCCGGGCAACCGGCCGGGGGCUGCCAGCAUCUGGGCGCGGAAGCCUUUAGCAGGCCUUUUGGCCGUCCGGCGUGCAGUUAACAACCAACUUAGAACUGGUGCGGACAAGGGGAAUCUGACUGUCUAAUUAAAACAUAGCA
rnacentral:rRNA from 1 species